rnacentral:rRNA from 1 species
UCGACGCACAGCGAAAGGUGCUUGCACCUUUCAAGUGAGUGGCGAACGGGUGAGUAACACGUGGACAACCUGCCUCAAGGCUGGGGAUAACAUUUGGAAACAGAUGCUAAUACCGAAUAAAACUUAGUGUCGCAUGACACAAAGUUAAAAGGCGCUUCGGCGUCACCUAGAGAUGGAUCCGCGGUGCAUUAGUUAGUUGGUGGGGUAAAGGCCUACCAAGACAAUGAUGCAUAGCCGAGUUGAGAGACUGAUCGGCCACAUUGGGACUGAGACACGGCCCAAACUCCUACGGGAGGCUGCAGUAGGGAAUCUUCCACAAUGGGCGAAAGCCUGAUGGAGCAACGCCGCGUGUGUGAUGAAGGCUUUCGGGUCGUAAAGCACUGUUGUAUGGGAAGAACAGCUAGAAUAGGAAAUGAUUUUAGUUUGACGGUACCAUACCAGAAAGGGACGGCUAAAUACGUGCCAGCAGCCGCGGUAAUACGUAUGUCCCGAGCGUUAUCCGGAUUUAUUGGGCGUAAAGCGAGCGCAGACGGUUUAUUAAGUCUGAUGUGAAAGCCCGGAGCUCAACUCCGGAAUGGCAUUGGAAACUGGUUAACUUGAGUGCAGUAGAGGUAAGUGGAACUCCAUGUGUAGCGGUGGAAUGCGUAGAUAUAUGGAAGAACACCAGUGGCGAAGGCGGCUUACUGGACUGCAACUGACGUUGAGGCUCGAAAGUGUGGGUAGCAAACAGGAUUAGAUACCCUGGUAGUCCACACCGUAAACGAUGAACACUAGGUGUUAGGAGGUUUCCGCCUCUUAGUGCCGAAGCUAACGCAUUAAGUGUUCCGCCUGGGGAGUACGACCGCAAGGUUGAAACUCAAAGGAAUUGACGGGGACCCGCACAAGCGGUGGAGCAUGUGGUUUAAUUCGAAGCAACGCGAG